ACUACAUGAAGCUGGAAUCGCUAGUAAUCGCGGAUCAGAAUGCCGCGGUGAAUACGUUCCCGGGUCUUGUACACACUGCCCGUCACACCAUGGGAGUCGGAAAUGCCCGAAGUCUGUGACCCAACCUUAGGGAGGGAGCAGCCGAAGGCAGGUCGGAUGACUGGGGUGAAGUCGUAACAAGGUACC
rnacentral:rRNA from 1 species